GCCCGGGUGGCGGAAUUGGCAGACGCGCCAGGUUGAGGGCCUGGUGAGGGUUAACCUCGUGCUGGUUCGAAUCCAGUUCCGGGCA
rnacentral:tRNA from 1 species